rnacentral:rRNA from 1 species
GACGUAGGGGGCCAGCGUUGUUCGGAAUUACUGGGUGUAAAGGGUUCGUAGGCGGUGCGGCAAGUUGGGAGUGAAAUCUCUGGGCUUAACCCAGAGGCUGCUUCCAAAACUGCUGUGCUUGAGUGUGGGAGAGGCGCGUGGAAUUGCAGGUGUAGCGGUGAAAUGCGUAGAUAUCAGGAGGAAUACCUAUGGCGAAAGCAGGUAUCUGGGCCAUCUCUGACACUGAGCUGCGAAAGCUAGGGGAGCAAACAGG